ensembl:lncRNA
GGGUGAGUCUGUGGUGUGAGUCUGUGGUGUGAGUCUGUAGUGAGUCUGUGGUGUGAAUCUGUGGGGUGAAUCUGUGGGGUGAGUCUGUGGGGUGAGUCUGUGUUGAGUCUGUAGUGAGUCUGUGGUGUGAGUCUGUAGUGAGUCUGUGGUGUGAGUCUGUAGUGAGUCUGUGGUGUGAGUCUGUGUGUGGUGGUUACUUGUGGCUCUGUGGUGUGAGUCUGUGGUGUGAGUCUGUGGUGUGAGUCUGUGGUGAGUCUGUAGUGAGUCUGUGGUGUGAGUCUGUGUGUGGUGGUUACUUGUGGCUCUGUGGUGUGAGUCUGUGGUGUGAGUCUGUGUGUGUGGUGGUUACUUGUGGCUCUGUGGUGUGAGUCUGUAGUGAGUCUGUGGUGUGAGUCUGUGUGUGUGGUGGUUACUUGUGGCUCUGUGGUGUGAGUCUGUAGUGAGUCUGUGGUGUGAGUCUGUGUGUGUGGUGGUUACUUGUGGC